UUGACAUCCAGAGAACUUAGCAGAGAUGCUUUGGUGCCUUCGGGAACUCUGAGACAGGUGCUGCAUGGCUGUCGUCAGCUCGUGUUGUGAAAUGUUGGGUUAAGUCCGCAACGAGCGCAACCCCUAUCCUUUGUUGCCAGCGAUUCGGUCGGGAACUCAAAGGAGACUGCCGGUGAUAAACCGGAGGAAGGUGGGGAUGACGUCAAGUCAUCAUGGCCCUUACGAGUAGGGCUACACACGUGCUACAAUGGCGCAUACAAAGAGAAGCGACCUCGCGAGAGCAAGCGGACCUCAUAAAGUGCGUCGUAGUCCGGAUUGGAGUCUGCAACUCGACUCCAUGAAGUCGGAAUCGCUAGUAAUCGUAGAUCAGAAUGCUACGGUGAAUACGUUCCCGGGCCUUGUACACACCGCCCGUCACACCAUGGGAGUGGGUUGCAAAAGAAGUAGGUAGCUUAACCUUCGGGAGGGCGUUUACCACUUUGUGAUUCAUGACUGGGGUGAAGUCGUAACAAGGUAAGCGUACGUGU
rnacentral:rRNA from 1 species